rnacentral:rRNA from 1 species
UACGGGGGGAGCAAGCGUUGUUCGGAAUCACUGGGCGUAAAGGGCGUGUAGGCGGUCAGGUAAGUGAGACGUGAAAUGCCCCGGCUUACCCGGGGACCUGCGUCUCAUACUGCUUGGCUUGAGUACGGGAGAGGGUGUGGGAAUUCCUGGUGUAGCGGUGAAAUGCGUAGAUACCAGGAGGAACACCGGUGGCGAAGGCGCACACCUGGCCCGAUACUGACGCUGAGGCGCGAAAGCUAGGGGAGCAAACGGG